AGUAAAUUGGUUAAGUUAGAAAGGGCGCACGGUGGAUGCCUUGGCACUAGGAGCCGAAGAAGGACGGGACUAACACCGAUAUGCUUUGGGGAGCUGUACGUAAGCGUUGAUCCAGAGAUUUCCGAAUGGGGGAACCCACUAUCUUUAGUCGGAUAGUAUCCUUACGUGAAUACAUAGCGUGAGGAAGGCAGACCCAGGGAACUGAAACAUCUAAGUACCUGGAGGAAGAGAAAGAAAAAUCGAUUUCCUGAGUAGCGGCGAGCGAAACGGAAAGAGCCCAAACCAAGAAGCUUGCUUCUUGGGGUUGUAGGACACUCUAUACGGAGUUACAAAAGAAAGUUAUAAAUGAAGCGGUCUGGAAAGGCCCGCCAAAGACGGUAACAGCCCGGUAGUUGAAAUAGCUUUCCCUCCAGAGUGGAUCCUGAGUACGGCGGAACACGUGAAAUUCCGUCGGAAUCCGGGAGGACCAUCUCCCAAGGCUAAAUACUCCCUAGUGACCGAUAGUGAACCAGUACCGUGAGGGAAAGGUGAAAAGCACC
rnacentral:rRNA from 1 species